CAGGAUGUAGAGAACAAACUGAAGUUGAAAUAGAUGUUCCAACAAAUACCAUCGAAAAUUAUGUUGCAGUAGGUACAAGCAAUGAGGAGCAAAAACGAAAAAAGAGGUCCAACAUAUAUGUGUAGUAUUUGGGGAUAUCAUGCUACCCAACAUGGUGGAGAACGACUUGUUAAUUUUAACAAGUAUGGUCAACCUAUUGGACAAAAUAAAUCAUUAUUUGUUGAGUUUUUAGGAACUAUUGCUCGGAAUGGGAAAUAUGCACCUAUUGACAUCGAAGUUGAGAUCAAAUGCCAAAGUCUUUAAAAAAAAUAUGUUAGAAGUUAUUCAAGUAUUUAUCUUCAUAAUAUAUCUACUUGUUUUAUUUGAUUUUAGUUACAUUCAUAAAAUAACAAAAUUCUUUGGAUUUAACAAUAAAUAUUUUCUUUUUUUUAGGAGAAAUUUGAGAUUACUCGUGGUAGUGAUGUAUGGGUUCUUCAAUCAAUUGGGAAGAAAUGGAGGAAUUGGAAAGCAGACAUUAAAUCUCGAUAUUAUGAUCCAAAUAUGACUACAGAAUUACAACUAUGUAAUGUGCCAAAAAGGAUACUCAAAGAUCAAUGGAAAAAUCUUCUUUCCUAUUGGAAUUCAGAAGAAUCAAAGGUAUAUUAUCAUAACUUG